AGCGAACGCUGGCGGCAGGCUUAACACAUGCAAGUCGAACGGGCACUUCGGUGCUAGUGGCAGACGGGUGAGUAACGCGUGGGAACGUGCCUUUCGGUUCGGAAUAAUCCAGGGAAACUUGGACUAAUACCGGAUACGCCCUUCGGGGGAAAGAUUUAUCGCCGAAAGAUCGGCCCGCGUCUGAUUAGCUAGUUGGUGAGGUAAAGGCUCACCAAGGCGACGAUCAGUAGCUGGUCUGAGAGGAUGAUCAGCCACACUGGGACUGAGACACGGCCCAGACUCCUACGGGAGGCAGCAGUGGGGAAUAUUGGACAAUGGGCGAAAGCCUGAUCCAGCCAUGCCGCGUGAGUGAUGAAGGCCUUAGGGUUGUAAAG
rnacentral:rRNA from 1 species